rnacentral:rRNA from 1 species
UACGGAAGGCAGCAGUGGGGAAUAUUGCACAAUGGGCGCAAGCCUGAUGCAGCCAUGCCGCGUGUAUGAAGAAGGCCUUCGGGUUGUAAAGUACUUUCAGUCGUGAGGAAGGUGUUAAGGUUAAUAACCUUAGCAAUUGACGUUAGCGACAGAAGAAGCACCGGCUAACUCCGUGCCAGCAGCCGCGGUAAUACGGAGGGUGCGAGCGUUAAUCGGAAUUACUGGGCGUAAAGGGCACGCAGGCGGUUAAUUAAGUUGGAUGUGAAUCCCGGGCUUAACCUGGGAAUGGCAUUCAAGACUGGUUAGCUAGAGUCUUGUAGAGGGGGUAGAAUUCCAUGUGUAGCGGUGAAAUGCGUAGAGAUGUGGAGGAAUACCGGUGGCGAAGGCGGCCCCUGGGACAAAGACUGACGCUCAUGUGCGAAAGCGUGGGGAGCAAACAGGAUUAGAUACC